UACGAAGGGGGCUAGCGUUGCUCGGAAUCACUGGGCGUAAAGCGCACGUAGGCGGCUUUUUAAGUCAGGGGUGAAAUCCUGGAGCUCAACUCCAGAACUGCCUUUGAUACUGGCGACCUUGAGUUCGGGAGAGGUGAGUGGAACUGCGAGUGUAGAGGUGAAAUUCGUAGAUAUUCGCAAGAACACCAGUGGCGAAGGCGGCUCACUGGCCCGAUACUGACGCUGAGGUGCGAAAGCGUGGGGAGCAAACAGG
rnacentral:rRNA from 1 species